rnacentral:lncRNA from 1 species
AAAUCCUCAUUUAGACAAACCAGCUAUAGAAGACUUCUUGGGGACAGCUGGAAAAAUAGGAAGGGAUAGUCAUCCUGGAGCCAAAGCAAGACUCAGUACUGAAAGACCAGGGAUUUAGUGACUGAGAUGAAGAACAGACUUGAAUAUUUGGGAUGUUUUUCACAAUGCACUGGCCAAUGAUGGAAAGCUGUGAUGGGGCAAAGAAAAUUUGAUUUGUGAAAGUGAAUGAAGGAAGGGCUUUGGUCCCACUGGCCUCCAAGUAUGCCAGAGCAUCACAGUAAGAACUGUGGAUCCUGAGCACCAUGGUGCUGAAUAUCCUCUGGCCCUUUCCUCACAUUCAUAUCAAUCAGGCAGAUGCCACAGAUUACUGGCCCACUAAUCUGUCAGAUAAACCAGGUAUGUGAACACAACUGGAAUACAACAAAUUAGUGAAUGAAUGAGAUAACUAAAUACCAGCAAAACAAUGGAACACAAUGAUAUUAGGCUGACUUUUCAAAUAUUUCAGAAAUUCAUUUGAACACAUUGUUUGUGGAUAUUAGCUGUAUGUUUUCGGUCUUAGUGAAUGGUUCUUGCAGUUUUGGCAACUGAGACAGCUAAUAAUCAAUAUUCACUGAGUACUUGAGAUGUGCCAGGAACCAGGAGACAC